UAAAUAAAAAUCGGGGUUGUUGCUGCUUUUUGUGGUGACGCUUCGGAAUUGGGUAGUCUUACCUUCGGGUUAAGUGACCUAAAAUUUUACAUGAUUUUUCGAACGUAUUUGAAUUUUUAUGUACGUUUGUGAUAUCGAUAUUAGGUGUGGUCAUCCUCAUGAUUCACGUCUAUAAUUUUUUUCAUU
rnacentral:misc_RNA from 1 species